CAUGUCUAGUACAAGCCGAAAUAAGGUGAAACCGCGAAUGGCUCAUUAAAUCACAACUAAUCUACUGGAAUAUAACAAGUUACUUGGAUACCUGAGGUAAUUCUUCAGCUAAUACAUGCACACAAGCCUCGAACUUACGUGAGAGGCGCUUUUAUUAGAUCAAAACCAGUCAGCUUCGGCUGUCCCUUUGGUGACUCUAAAUAACUUUGGGCUGAUCGCAUGGCCUCGAGCCGGCGACAUUUCCUUCGAAGGUGUGCCCUAUCAACUGUCGACUGUGGCAUAGACGCCCACAGUGGUUUUGACGGGUAACGGGGAAUCAGGGUUCGAUUCCGGAGAGGGAGCCUUAAAAACGGCUACCACAUCUAAGGAAGGCAGCAGGCACGCAAAUUACCCAAUGAACGCAGUUCGAGGUAGUGACGAAAAAUAACGAUACUGGACUCAUCCGAGGCCCAGUAAUCGGAAUGAGUACACUUUAAAACCGUCCCCGAGGAUCUAUGGGAGGGCAAGUCUGGUGCCAGCAGCCGCGGUAAUUCCAGCUCCAAUAGCGUAUAUUAAAGUUGUUGUGGUUAAAAAGCUCGUAGUUGGAUCUCGGCGGGUAGAGGGCGGUAUGCUUGCUUGCAUUACUACCCUAUUACCCGUAGUUUUGCUAGAGGUUUCAGGGUGCUCUUAAUCGAGUGUCCUGGGAUGCUAGCAGGUUUACUUUGAAAAAUUAGAGUGCUCAAGCAGGCUACUACGCUGGAUAUUCGUGCAUGGAAUAUAGAAUAGGAAAUCGUUCUAUUUUGUUGGUUUUCGGAAUCGAUUAAUGAUUAAUAGGGACAGUCGGGGGCAUUUGUAUCAACGACAGAGGUGAAUUCUUGGACCGUUUGAAGACAACUACUGCGAAGCAUUGCCAAGAUGUUUCAUUAUCAGAACAAAGUU
rnacentral:rRNA from 1 species